UACGUAGGGCGCAAGCGUUUAUCCGGAAUUAUUGGGCGUAAAGAGCUCGUAGGCGGUUUGUCGCGUCUGCCGUGAAAGUCCGGGGCUCAACUCCGGAUCUGCGGUGGGUACGGGCAGACUAGAGUGAUGUAGGGGAGACUGGAAUUCCUGGUGUAGCGGUGAAAUGCGCAGAUAUCAGGAGGAACACCGGUGGCGAAGGCGGGUCUCUGGGCCGAUACUGACGCUGAGGCGCGAAAGCGUGGGGAGCAAACAGG
rnacentral:rRNA from 1 species